rnacentral:rRNA from 1 species
CCUACGGGUGGCAGCAGUGAGGAAUAUUGGUCAAUGGGCGGAAGCCUGCACCAGCCACGUAGCGUGCAGGCUGACGGCCCUACGGGUUGUCAACUGCUUUUAUACAGGAAUAACGCGCCUUAAGUGUAGGGCUUUGCAUGUACCGUAUGCUUAAGGACCGGCUAAUUCAGUGCACGCAGCCGCGGUAAUACGGAAGGUCCGGGCGUUAUCCGGAUUUAUUGGGGUUAAAGGGAGCGUAGGCCGCAUGUCAUGCGUGCUGUGAAAUGUCAGGGCUCAACCCGGGCCUUGCAGCGCGAAAUGGCGUGCUUGAGUCCGCGGAAAGCAGGCGGAAGUCGUCGUGUAGCGGUGAUAUGCUUAGAUAUGACGAAGAACCCCGAUUGCGAAGGCAGCUUGCUGCAGCGGAACUGACGCUGAUGCUCGAAAGCGCGGGUAUCGAACAGGAUUAGAUACCCGGGUAGUC